rnacentral:rRNA from 1 species
GAUCAUGGCUCAGAUUGAACGCUGGCGGCAGGCCUAACACAUGCAAGUCGAGCGGCAGCACAGGUGCUUGCACCGGGUGGCGAGCGGCGGACGGGUGAGUAAUGCCUAGGAAUCUGCCUGGUAGUGGGGGAUAACGCUCGGAAACGGACGCUAAUACCGCAUACGUCCUACGGGAGAAAGCAGGGGACCUUCGGGCCUUGCGCUAUCAGAUGAGCCUAGGUCGGAUUAGCUAGUUGGUGAGGUAAUGGCUCACCAAGGCGACGAUCCGUAACUGGUCUGAGAGGAUGAUCAGUCACACUGGAACUGAGACACGGUCCAGACUCC